GACGAACGCGGCGGCGUGCCUAAUACAUGCAAGUAGAACGCUGAAGGGAGAGCUUGCUCUUCUGGAUGAGUUGCGAACGGGUGAGUAACGCGUAGGUAACCUGCCUGGUAGCGGGGGAUAACUAUUGGAAACGAUAGCUAAUACCGCAUAACAUUGACUAUUGCAUGAUAGUCAAUUGAAAGGUGCAAAUGCACCACUACCAGAUGGACCUGCGUUGUAUUAGCUAGUUGGUGGGGUAACGGCUCACCAAGGCGACGAUACAUAGCCGACCUGAGAGGGUGAUCGGCCACACUGGGACUGAGACACGGCCCAGACUCCUACGGGAGGCAGCAGUAGGGAAUCUUCGGCAAUGGACGGAAGUCUGACCGAGCAACGCCGCGUGAGUGAAGAAGGUUUUCGGAUCGUAAAGCUCUGUUGUAAAGAGAAAGAAACGAGUGUGAG
rnacentral:rRNA from 1 species